GAUGAACGCUGGCGGCGUGCCUAAUACAUGCAAGUCGAACGGGGAGUCGCAAUACUCUUAGUGGCGAACGGGUGAGUAACGCGUUGGUACCUGCCCCGAAGCGGGGGAUAACGGACCGAAAGGUCCGCUAAUACCCCAUGUGCUCGGUAACGAGUAAAGGUGAAAACCACUUUGGGAGGGGCCUGCGUCCCAUCAGCUAGUUGGUAAGGUAACGGCUUACCAAGGCGAUGACGGGUAGGGGACCUGAGAGGGUGGCCCCCCACAAUGGAACUGAAACACGGUCCAUACACCUACGGGUGGCAGCAGUAGGGAAUAUUGGUAAUGGGCGCAAGCCUGAACCAGCAACGCCGCGUGUGCGAUGACGGCCUUCGGGUUGUAAAGCACUUUUGACUGGGACGAGGAAGGACGGUACCGGUCGAAUCAGCCUCGGCUAACUACGUG
rnacentral:rRNA from 1 species